rnacentral:tRNA from 1 species
GUCAGAGUGGUGCAGUGGAAGCAUGCUGGGCCCAUAACCCACAGGCUGAUGGAUCGAAACCAUCCUCUGCUA